rnacentral:misc_RNA from 1 species
GAAAUGCGAUAAGUAAUGUGAAUUGCAGAAUUCAGUGAAUCAUCGAAUCUUUGAACGCACAUUGCGCCCGCCAGCACUCUGGCGGGCAUGCCUGUUCGAGCGUCAUUUCAACCCUCAGAACCCCUUGCGGGAUCUGGCGUUGGGGAUUGGCAUCCAGCCAGCCCCGAAAUCUAGUGGCGGUCCCUCCGCGACCUCCCCUGUGCAGUAGCGAUACCUCGCAGCGGGACAGCGGUCUGACCACGCCGUAAAACCCCCAACUUCUCAAGGUGGACCUCGAAUCAGGUAAGAAUACCCGCAGAACUUAAGC